rnacentral:lncRNA from 1 species
CAUGGACCUGUCACCACCCCAGAGGCUAACAAUUGCGAAAGCAAGGAGUGAGUGUAUGCAGGGAUUGAGUUAACAUUGGCUUAUGUUGAGCUGAGCACAAUUUGAUAGAGACAGUGGUAAGCAUUGUAAACUGACGCGUGGGAACCGUAAUAUAUCCUCCGUCCUCCUAGAGGUUCCUUUCUUUUGACAAAAGGAGAUAUAUUGCAAAGGUCAUAUUUCUUUCUAAUUCUCCAGGCGACCCUUAACUCUUUCGAUGAAUGAAACUGGGGAAAAACUAUUUUAAGUUCGGAAGGCUUUAGGAGGUAAUGUUAGUGGACAAGGGUUUUCCAAGGAGGAUGGUUAUGGAUGUCAAAGAAAGGAGGACAAGUGGAAGUGAUGGAGAGAUUACCAGAAGAAAGGACACAAUCGAAUUAAAGACAGGUUGCAGCACUCAGAUAAGGUGAGAGGAGGAAAAGCAAUCACAUUCUUGAUUACUCGUUUCAUUCAAUUUAG